CAGCAGAACACUGCUGUGUGUUUGGAGCAGUUCAAAGGUGCUUCCAGAUAGAUCUUUUGGAAAAGGAUUUCUCUGUGUGUGUGUGUGUGUGUGUGUGUGUGUCUUUAUCUAUGUGUUUAUUGGUACUUUCAAGGAACAACAAGGGCAUUCAUAAAUUGACUGUUUAGUAGAGGCCACAGUGUAUUUCAGUCAUGACACACGUAUGGUCUGCUUUCUCUUUACAAACUACGUGAGGUGGUGCACUGAAUGCCAGACUUGGGAGGAUUUGAGCAUCUCCCUGCCUUCAGUUCUUCCGUGACAAUAUUUUAGUGUCUGGCUCACUUUUUUGAUCAAAGAAGAUCAUUUACUGGGACUUCAGAAUGAAGACAGGAUCCCACUGUGUCACCCAGGCUGAAGUGCAGUGGCACCAUUAUAGCUCACUGCAGCCUUGAACUCUUGGGCUCAAGUGAUCCUCCUACCUCAGCCUCCCGAGUAGCUGGGACUACAGAAAUGUCAAUUGCCUACCUGAUGGCUGUGAAAAACAGAAAGAAGAAACAAAGACAUAUCUGUAUGUAAAGGUUGAGCUUGAAAAAAGAAAACUACUCUUGACGCUGAAGAACGCAAUCCAACAUGAAAGAAUGCUUAUUUCAAGUUUUACCUGAAUCUACCUAGAGCUGAAUUUCUUAUCUAUACUUUACUACAGAUAUUCUGCUUUGUGCAGAUCUACAAUGGAUCAUUAAAGUCAAAGGACAAUUACUUAUCUUUCUACUCCUCCCAGUACCCAAGACCUGAGAGUGAGAUAUUAAAUUCGUCCUUAGAUCUUUCAUGCAAUGUUACAGCUCUUUGGAACUCCUCAUGAAGCUCCUCCUCUCCAUGGUGGAAUUUUACUCUGAGGAGAGAUAGGCUAAAAUGUUUCAGUCCCCUAUAUGAUAAGUCCAAAAUCACCGUUUCACAUAUAUGCUGACCUGAUACAUUGAGUCACUGAUACGUGUCUUUCCACCUUCAGUAUAUUUUCUUUGACUAGCUUUAUUGCUUCCCUGUGAUGCUGAAUUUUGAGCAUGGAUGUGUGUGUCCAUAACAAAACCAUCCUAGGUAAACUGAAUUUGGUUAUUUGAAUUUCAUAAUUACUCUUUACUCCAAGUGUUGUGGAUUCAUGAUGCAAAUUUACCCAUUCCCAUUGCAAUAACUUAGAGCCAAAUAUCAAUUAUUUUAAAACUUGGUUCUCAUCACUGAACUAACAGUGUUGAAAAAGACAAUUUGCCUAUAUUUAAUAGUUUGCUAGUAAACUUUAUUUUGGGUUACAUCAAACUUGUAAUAAGUAGUGACUGGAUUGGGAAGGUGAGGUGUGCUGAUUUAAGGAUGCCUCUCCAUCUAUUUUAUGUGCUAGAAAAUAGGUAGCAAAAAAUAAAUCUUGCAGUACUCUCUUUUGAUUAACUACACAUUUUCCAUCUUGGAGUAAAAAGUAAUUAUGAAAUUCAACUCUAAUUGUAUAGUUUUUCUGUGUAAAAUAACUGAUGAAAAUAGAAUAAUUUAGAUGCUUUUUCUUUUAUUUUUUAUAGUAUUGAAUAGUGGAGCAUAACAAAUAGUACCUUCAGUUUGCUUUCUCUGGAAAAAAAUGAUUUGGUAAGAUUUUACAUGUCCCACAAAUGCUCUUAAACAAAAGAUAUGUCCCCAAGUGGACAACAGAUAAGUUUUUAUUUUAAAAAGGAAAGGAAGAAAUGUAUAUUUCUAGAAUUUUCUAGCUUAUAAGAAAAAUAAGGAGAAAUCUUCUAAUGGCUGGUUGGCAGCUAACUCUCCAGUUCCUCUACAGUGUGCAAAUUAUAUUAAAUGAAUUCAUUGCAUUAAUGAAGACAAACUUCACUGAUAUUUGAACAAUGAAUAUAAAUGGUUUGGAAUCAAGAAUUACCUUUAUUCAUUAUCAACAAUUAUCAGACAAGACCAGUUUCCAAAUAACAUUUUUUCCUAAAUUAACAGGAUGACCACACAUCUAGAUGGUUGUUGUAUGUGAGGACAGAGACAUCGCCAAAGGUCUGUGAAGGACUAACUGCUAUAGGAAUAGGCCAUAACUAGAGACCAGAAAAAAAAAUUUACAAGAGUGUUCAGACUUCUAGGAGCAUGAAAUUGUGAUAGAAGAAAACGUAUGAAUUGACCAUUACCGUUACCAUUACCCUAGCUUGAUUACUGAAGCAGAGGCCAGGGGUAGAAACUCAAGCAGAGCCAUGUAAUCCCACAGAGUUAAGGAGACAGGGAUCAAGGCACUGGAAAGCUGGAGUGUCAAGAACUUAUGGGGAAAAAUAUGAGAGCAGAAGCUGCACGAUGAGAAGGGUUCAAAGACCUGCAGAAGGUUAAAAAAACAAAAAAAAAACAUGAGUUUUUAGCUGAGCAUUGAUCUGCAUAAAUGUUGGAUAAAAUGUCAUGAAGUUCUAGAAAGAACAAUAGGAAAAGCCAGAGGGUAAAGAAUUUUUGGAAUUCACACAGAAAGAUGGAAAUAAUUUGUAUUCUCAAGAGCAGACAGGAGAGACCUAAUUCAUAGGGGAAUUGGGUAGAGUACUCAGAAACAUUGGGCCUUGGUAAUAAAGGAGAAUUAGCCUUAAAACCAAGGUUCCUCUGAACACAUUAGCAAAGGUUAAAACAAUGGAUACACAUGGACAUCAAGAUGGAGCUAAUAGACAUUGGAAACUACAAAAUGGGGGAGAGUGAGAGCAGAUGAGAGUGGAUAAAUUACUGAUUGGGUAAAAAGUUCAAAAAACAAAAACAAAGGUCAAAAAGAAGCCUUGAAAGGUAAUCAACAUCAUUAAUCAUCAGAGAAAUGCAAAUCAAAACCACCAUGAGAUGUCAUCUCAUACCUGUUAGGAGAUGAUUUAACUUGUUAUCAAAGUGAAAGGAUAACAAAUGUUGGCAAGGAUGUGUAGAAAAAAGAACUCUUAUAUAUGGUUGAUGGAAUGUAAAUUUGAUACAGUCAUUAUGGGAAAGAGAAUAGAGUUUUCUAAAGCAAUUAAAAAUAAAACUACCAUAUGAUUCAGUAAUCUCUCUUCUGGGAAUAUACCCAAAGGAAAUGAAAUCAUCACCUCAUAAAAAUGUCUGCACUCCCAUGUUCAUUGCAGCAUUAUUCAUAAUAGCUAAGAUAUGGAAAAGCCUAACUGUCCAUCAAGGGAUGAAUGGAUAAAGAAACUGUGGUAUAUUUCUAUAUAUCCCAUAAAAAUAAUAAUGAAAUAUUAUUCAGCCCUAAAAAAGAACAAGAUCUUCUCAUUUAACACAACAUAGAUGAGACUGGAGGACAAUGAAAUAAACCAGACAAAGAAAGAAAAGUAUUACAUGAUUGAUUUCACUUAAAUGAGGAUUCUUAAAAACUCAAAUAUAGAAAGAGAACAAAACAGUGGUUCUGGGGCAGAGGAGGAAGGGAGAAAAUUGGGAGAUAUAAGUCAGAGGAUACAAAGUAUAAGAUAUAUACCAUGAACAAGUCUAGAGGUCUAAUAUACAACAGGAGGACUAUAGGAAAUAAAAUUUUACCAUACAUGGAAUUCAUGCUAAAUGAAUAGAUUUUAACUGUUAUUGCCAUAAAAACAAAAACAAAAAAUGGGUAACUAUGUGAGAGGAUAGAUAUGUUCAUUUGUUCCACUAUGGUAACUUUUUACAAUCUACAUAUAUUUCAUAACAUCACAUUGUAUACCUUAAAUAUACGUAAUAAAAUUUAUUUUAAAACAAAG
rnacentral:lncRNA from 10 species